GACGAACGCUGGCGGCGUGCUUAACACAUGCAAGUCGAACGAAGAGCGAUGGAAGCUUUCUUCUAUCAAUCUUAGUGGCGCACGGGUGAGUAACGCGUAAUCAACCCGCCCUUCAGAGGGGGACAACCGUUGGAAACGACUGCUAAUACCGCAUACGAUCUAAUCUCGGCAUCGAGGAUAGAUGAAAGGUUGCCUCUACAUGUAAGCUAUCACUGAAGGAGGGUAUUGCGUCUGAUUAGCUAGUUGGAGGGGUAACGGCCCACCCAGGCCAAGAACAGUAGGCGGGCUGGGGAGGUGGACGGCCCACUUGGGACCUGAGCACGGGCCAAGAUCCCUCGGGGAGGAGGAAGUGGGGAACUUUCGGAAAUGAGGAAAGGCUGGCGGAGCCACGCCGGGUGGGGGGUGGCAGGCUUCGGGUUGUAAAACUCUGUUUAUCGGGACGAAAGACCUUCUUGCGAACAGUUAGAAGGAUUGACGGUACCGAAAUAGAAAGCCACGGCUAACUACGUG
rnacentral:rRNA from 1 species